GAUGAUUCAAGGAAAAAGAAGAAUCCUUUUCCAGAGGAUUUGAAUUUAGAGGGAGGAAGGAGUAACAAGCAGUCUGCAGUUUAUGCUGAAUCAACUGUGAGUUCUGCAGAUUUUGACACAGUGUUGCUCAGCUGUGGACAAAGUGAAUCUGCACUUCGUGAAGCUUGGCAGAAUGGGAAAAGCAAGAAUGUGCAGCAGAGUGGACAAAUAAAAGGGACUAGUGGUGGAAAAGGUCGAGGUAAGAAACAGGGAAGUAAGAGGAAUGUGGUGGAUUUGAGAACUCUUUUGACCCUUUGUGCGCAAGCUGUUGCAGCAGAUGAUCGUAGGAAUGCAAAUGAUCUGUUGAAGCAAAUCAGACAGAAUUCUUCUCCUACAGGUGAUGGGAUGCAGAGAUUGGCCCACAUUUUUGCUGAUGGCCUUGAGGCACGCAUGGCUGGCUCGGGAAUCCAGAUUUACAAGGCAUUUAUGAGCAAGCAUACAUCAGCUGCCGAUGUCUUGAAAGCCUACCAUCUGUUUCUUGCGGCAUGCCCAUUUAGGAAACUGUCCAAUUUCUUCUCAAAUAAAACCAUUAUGAAUGUUGCUCAAAAUGCAACAAAACUACAUAUUGUUGAUAUUGGUAUUCUUUAUGGUUUCCAAUGGCCUUGCCUUAUUCGGCAUCUCUCAUCUAGGCAAGGUGGACCUCCCAAGCUUCGAAUCACGGGGAUUGAUUUUCCACAUCCAGGUUUCCGACCAGCAGUAAGGGUUGAGGAGACAGGACACCGCCUGUCAAACUAUGCAAAAACUUUCAAUGUUCCAUUUGAGUUCAAUGCAAUAGCACAGAAGUGGGA
rnacentral:misc_RNA from 1 species